rnacentral:rRNA from 1 species
CUACUAGGGUAUCUAAUCCUGUUCGCUCCCCACGCUUUCGUGCCUCAGCGUCAGUUACAGCCUAGUAAGCUGCCUUCGCAAUCGGAGUUCUGGAUCGUAUCUAUGCAUUUCACCGCUACACGAUCCAUUCCGCCUACCUCGUCUGUACUCAAGCCUCACAGUAUCCAUGGCAGUUCAACAGUUGAGCUGUUGGCUUUCACCACGGACUUAUGAAGCCGCCUACGCACCCUUUAAACCCAAUAAAUCCGGACAACGCUUGCACCCUCCGUAUUACCGCGGCUGCUGGCAC